UACAGUGAAAUGCUGAACACAACAGGUGUAGUAGACCUCACAGUGAAAUGCUGAAUACAACAGGUGUAGUAGACCUCACAGUGAAAUGCUGAAUACAACAGGUGUAGUAGACCUGACAGUGAAAUGCUGAAUACAACAGGUGUAGUAGACCUCACAGUGAAAUGCUGAAUACAACAGGUGUAUUAGACCUUACAGUGAAAUGCUGAAUACAACAGGUGUAGUAGACCUUACAGUGAAAUGCUGAAUACAACAGGUGUAGUAGACCUCACAGUGAAAUGCUGAAUACAACAGGUGUAGUAGACCUCACAGUGAAAUGCUGAAUACAACAGGUGUAGUAGACCUUACAGUGAAAUGCUGAAUACAACAGGUGUAGUAGACCUCUCAGUGAAAUGCUGAAUACAACAGGUGUAGUAGACCUCACAGUGAAAUGCUGAAUACAACAGGUGUAGUAGACCUCUCAGUGAAAUGCUGAAUACAACAGGUGUAGUAGACCUCACAGUGAAAUGCUGAAUACAACAGGUGUAGUAGACCUUACAGUGAAAUGCUGAAUACAACAGGUGUAGUAGACCUUACAGUGAAAUGCUGAAUACAACAGGUGUAGUAGACCUCUCAGUGAAAUGCUGAAUACAACAGGUGUAGUAGACCUCACAGUGAAAUGCUGAAUACAACAGGUAUAGUAGACCUCACAGUGAAAUGCUGAAUACAACAGGUGUAGUAGACCUCACAGUGAAAUGCUGAAUACAACAGGUGUAGUAGACCUCACAGUGAAAUGCUGAAUACAACAGGUGUAGUAGACCUUACAGUGAAAUGCUGAAUACAACAGGUGUAGUAGACCUCACAGUGAAAUGCUGAAUACAACAGGUGUAGUAGACCUCACAGUGAAAUGCUGAAUACAACAGGUGUAGUAGACCUCACAGUGAAAUGCUGAAUACAACAGGUGUAGUAGACCUCACAGUGAAAUGCUGAAUACAACAGGUGUAGUAGACCUGACAGUGAAAUGCUGAAUACAACAGGUGUAGUAGACCUCACC